GUCUACUUACUGCGGAUGGUUUAUGUAAAUUAGGGUCAGUUUCCUUAUAGGAGCUUGUCACACCUAUGAUGUUUAGAUCCCUUUUGGGUUCAACUAAUGCUGUUUUGCAUGGCGUUACUUUCGAACUUGGUUUAUGACCUCUCGUGAAGCAGAAGGACAAUCCUAUUUUGUUGUUUAUAAAUGCCAGCUCGUUGGAAUUGUGUUGUCACAUGUGGGGAGUGGGUGUCAAUUUUUUUCUUUGCUUAAAUUUCACAGAACCACAGUUUUUUAGGCAGGCUUCUCAACGAGCACUGAUAGAUGCUAAUUUGACCGCAAAAUCAUACGUUUUGUGUCUCAUUGUCUCGCUACACCCAAAACACUGCUUUAAGCUUUGUUGACGGUAUUUCUUACAUGUCAGGCGCCGUGACUUUUUCAUUGAACCCCUUGCAUUUUUCUUUUUUCCUCGUCCCCUUGUCUUCUACUCCGGUGCCGGUGGAGCACGAGCGCCGCGACGGCGAGCAGCACGAAAGUUGCGACGCGAGCGGCAUACAGUGCUCCUCCUCGUCGUUGACAUCCACCGUAAUCGUGCCUAGACGGAGCCGCCUGGCCGCGCUCGUGCCUGGACGUAGCCCUUUGGCCUUCCCUCGACGAGGAGCACCAGAAGCUUCCAGACGUCUUCGCGGAGCUAGUGAAACUGGCGGGGGAUUCCGGGACUCACCGGAGAAGGAGAUCGAGCGGCGGCGGCGGGAGGCCGGAGCCGGGGAAGAAUGAUGAGAUGGCGGCGAUUCAUGGAGCUUCGGUACGAUUCCUUCGUUUGGGAAGCUAAACGAGGCUAGGCGGAGCUCUAGGGCAAGGUUUCGCGGCCUGGGGAGGGCCACGGCCGCGGCGGCGCAAGGUGGCGCUGUGUGGGCGUGCUCGCGUUCCAGGAAGCACAGGGCACGGGAAGACGUGCGGCCUGCGUCUCUAGGCUUAGCAUGGCUAGGGGAUUGUGUUGGCGCAGUCUAGCGGUCGAGGGGAAGCGAGAAGGCGUCGCCAACGACGAGGGAGGACGGUGGCCAGAAAAGCUUGGCGUCGAUUGCGUCGCGGCCGGGCUACGAAAAGCUUCGUUUCAUGUAAGUAGUAGCUCCUAUAGGCAGGCAGUUGUAGACCGACAAGGCGUGACGUGAGGUACGUACGAAGUCGGAGGUCGGACCAAGCUUCAGGCGAUGCACGGUGAGAUGCCAGUAGCGGAGAGCUAGCCGAGAGGGUUGGUUGGUUGAUGUAUGCAGGAGGCCAUUAGCUGCAGGUUGUUAGGAUGACUUAGUGUAGGCAUGUGCGUGUGCUGUUUGGCCGGGUCGUGAGGGUCUAGAGUAAAUCUAGGUGAAUUAGUUAGCUCACCGAGUGCUCCAACAGCCACGGCUCCCGCAUGGAGGUGCGCGAGCGUGGCACGGAACUCGCGGCGGUGGCGGAGCUGGACAGGGUCAAGACCGGAGCUAAGCAUCUCGUUGACACAGACG
rnacentral:lncRNA from 1 species